AUUGAACGCUGGCGGCAGGCCUAACACAUGCAAGUCGAGCGGUAGCACAGGGAGCUUGCUCCUGGGUGACGAGCGGCGGACGGGUGAGUAAUGUCUGGGAAACUGCCUGAUGGAGGGGGACAACUACUGGAAACGGUAGCUAAUACCGCAUAACGUCGCAAGACCAAAGAGGGGGACCUUCGGGCCUCUUGCCAUCAGAUGUGCCCAGAUGGGAUUAGCUAGUAGGUGGGGUAACGGCUCACCUAGGCGACGAUCCCUAGCUGGUCUGAGAGGCUGACCAGCCACACUGGAACUGAGACACGGUCCAGACUCCUACGGGAGGCAGCAGUGGGGAAUAUUGCACAAUGGGCGCAAGCCUGAUGCAGCCAUGCCGCGUGUAUGAAGAAGGCCUUCGGGUUGUAAAGUACUUUCAGCGGGGAGGAAGGUGUUGAGGUUAAUAACCUCAGCAAUUGACGUUACCCGCAGAAGAAGCACCGGCUAACUCCGUGCCAGCCGCCGCGGUAA
rnacentral:rRNA from 1 species